UACGGAGGGUGCGAGCGUUGUCCGGAAUCACUGGGCGUAAAGGGCGCGUAGGUGGCGCGGAAAGUCAACGGUGAAAGUUCGGGGCUCAACCCUGAAUCGGCCGUCGAUACUGCUGCGCUUGAGCACUGUAGAGGCAGAUGGAAUUCCGGGUGUAGCGGUGGAAUGCGUAGAGAUCCGGAAGAACACCGGUGGCGAAGGCGGUCUGCUGGGCAGUAGCUGACACUGAGGCGCGACAGCGUGGGGAGCAACAGG
rnacentral:rRNA from 1 species